AAAGCAAAAUCUACCACCGACCUUCAACAAAAGCAACAGCGCAAAUGGUUUGAAAAGUACUUGCGGGGCGAGUUUCUCAAAUUUAAACUGGGGUUGAAACUUUGUACAGAGGAGUGGGGCAGAUUUUCUUUCCUUUGCUUUUUGGGUCUGUGUCUUACUAUGAAGCCUCGGUUGUCCUGGAACUCAGUAGACCAGGCUGGCUUUCAAUUCAGAUUCGCCAGUCGAUGGCUCUCAAGUGCUGGGAUUAAAGGAGGGCUUCACUACACCUGGCCAUUUUUAUUUUAAAGUACCAGGGAUCAAAUCCAGAACCCCAGACAUAUUCAUCAAGCCCUCUACCACCCAGCUCAGCCCCAAAAGAUUUACUUCUCUUUCUUCCCAUGCCGGGGAUUGAACCCAGGGCCUCAAACAUGCUAAACAAGUGCUCUGCCCCAGAGCUACAUUCCCAGUCCCUAAGUUUUUCAAUCUUGUUUGCCAAAGUUGACAAGAGCCUCCCUUUUCACCCACUAAGUGUUUAUUACUGUUAAAUGAUAUUCCCCAGGCCUGAUUAAUUUUUAGGGAUAUGAAAAUGAACUUACAUGACCCGUGCGAACCUGAGACACAAUUAUCACAGGGAAUUUUAGUAAUCUUAGACAUUGUUGUUUGGAAACAUCGUAUUCUAGAGGAAACACAAACUCUGUUUAUGAUUCAGACGUAAGGUUUUGCAGCUCUUGUAAUGAAGCUUCUGCUGCAAAUCAUCUCUGGGCAGUGGUUAUCAAUGUAGCAGGUAACAGGUAAUAUUAACUUGUUAAUUUUAGAACCCUGAUAUCAUCUACUAAUUACUCAUAAAAGCAUGAUGUGUAUUUAUCAUAGUACCGUAAGAACUAAGCCUGAGGAGGCUUCUGAUGAGUCCCUUGAGUUGGGUGCAUGAAAACCAACACUUGAUUAUCAAGGGCUGAUGGCUACAGAGACACAGGGCACUGACUCGACUACCUAAGGAAACUAUAGGUACAUACACUGAGGCACUAGAGUUCCCCUCUUCAUCAGAAGCUGAGAUCAGUAUGCUUACGCAUAAAAUAAAUAAACAAAUCUU